rnacentral:rRNA from 1 species
GAUGAACGCUGGCGGCGUGCCUAAUACAUGCAAGUCGAGCGAACAGACGAGGAGCUUGCUCCUCUGACGUUAGCGGCGGACGGGUGAGUAACACGUGGAUAACCUACCUAUAAGACCGGGAUAAUCUCGGGAACCCGGAGCUAAUCCGGGAUAAUAUAUUGAACCGCAGGGUUCAAUAGUGAAAGACGGUUUUGCUGUCACUAAAAGAUGGAUCCGACCCGAAUUAGCUAGUUGGAAAGGUAACGGCUUACCAAGGCAACGAUGCGUAGCCGACCUGAGAGGGUGAUCGGCCACACUGGAACUGAGACACGGUCCAGACUCCUACGGGAGGCAGCAGUAGGGAAUCUUCCGCAAUGGGCGAAAGCUUGACGGAGCAACGCCGCGUGAGUGAUGAAGGUCUUCGGAUCGUAAAACUCUGUUAUUAGGGAAGAACAAAUGUGUAAGUAACUAUGCACGUCUUGACGGUACCUAAUCAGAAAGCCACGGCUAACUACGUG